rnacentral:rRNA from 1 species
AUUGAACGCUGGCGGCAUGCUUUACACAUGCAAGUCGAACGGCAGCACAGGGAGCUUGCUCCUGGGUGGCGAGUGGCGGACGGGUGAGUAAUGUAUCGGAACGUGCCUGGUAGGGGGGGAUAACUACUCGAAAGAGUGGCUAAUACCGCAUGAGAUCUUUGGAUGACAGCGGGGGACCUUCAGGCCUCGUGCUACUGGAGCGGCCGGUAUCAGAUUAGGUUGUUGGUGGGGUAAAGGCCUACCAAGCCUGCGAUCUGUAGCUGGUCUGAGAGGACGACCAGCCACACUGGGACUGAGACACGGCCCAGACUCCUACGGGAGGCAGCAGUGGGGAAUUUUGGACAAUGGGCGCAAGCCUGAUCCAGCAAUGCCGCGUGCAGGACGAAGGCCUUCGGGUUGUAAACUGCUUUUGUACGGAACGAACAGUCUCUGGCUAAUAUCUAGAGAUCAUGACGGUACUGAAAGAAUAAGCACCGGCUAACUACGUG